AUGUUACUUCCUCCGUCCGGAAAUACUCGUCGGAGGAAUGGAUGUAUCUAGAUGUAUUUUAGUUCUAGAUACAUUCAUUUUUAUGCAUUUCUUCGACAAGUAUUUCUAGACGGAGGGAGUACAAU
rnacentral:pre_miRNA from 1 species